UACGUAGGGUGCGAGCGUUGUCCGGAAUUAUUGGGCGUAAAGGGCUCGUAGGCGGUUUGUCGCGUCGGGAGUGAAAACCUUGGGCUUAACUCAGGGCUUGCUUUCGAUACGGGCAGACUAGAGGUAUGCAGGGGAGAACGGAAUUCCUGGUGUAGCGGCGAAAUGCGCAGAUAUCAGGAGGAACACCGGUGGCGAAGGCGGUUCUCUGGGCAGUAACUGACGCUGAGGAGCGAAAGCGUGGGGAGCGAACAGG
rnacentral:rRNA from 1 species